rnacentral:rRNA from 1 species
GCUACNCACGUGCUACAAUGGGAAGUACAACGAGUUGCGAAGUCGCGAGGCUAAGCUAAUCUCUUAAAGCUUCUCUCAGUUCGGAUUGCAGGCUGCAACUCGCCUGCAUGAAGCCGGAAUCGCUAGUAAUCGCGGAUCAGCACGCCGCGGUGAAUACGUUCCCGGGCCUUGUACACACCGCCCGUCACACCACGAGAGUUUGUAACACCCGAAGUCGGUGAGGUAACCUUUUUGGAGCCAGCCGCCUAAGGUGGGAUAGAUGAUUGGGGUGAAGUCGUAACAAGGUAGCCGUAUCGGAAGGUGCGGUUG